UACGAAUCGUCCUAACGUUGUUCGGAUUCACUGGGUUUAAAGGGUGCGUAGGCGGUGCGUUAAGUCGGUGGUGAAAUACUUCGGCUCAACCGGAGAAUUGCCGCUGAAACUGGCGUGCUCGAGGGAGGUAGAGGUGCAUGGAACUUCCGGUGGAGCGGUGAAAUGCGUUGAUAUCGGAAGGAACACCUGUGGCGACAGCGGUGCACUGGACCUCUUCUGACGCUGAGGCACGAAAGCCAGGGGAGCGAACGGG
rnacentral:rRNA from 1 species